CUCUCCAGUUGCCAUCAUUGAAAGUCUUAACAUUGACAGCCGGUCUUGGACUCGAACCAUUGCCUGGUUGUUCGACUUCGAGGGAGGUUUCGUCAGCAUGAACAGAAAGUUUUGCAAUCAUGUAUUCUCAGUUGGAGCUCUGAUGAUAUUCAUAGUCUCUGUUCAGUCUGAGGAUCAGAGCUCAGAGUCUGAUCAGAUGUUAACUCUGGAAGGGGAAAGAGUUGAACUGCAUUGUCGAAUGUCCAUUGGUACAGGCGAAACUGUAGCCUGGUACAGACAAACCCUUUCAGGGAUUCCGACAUUUAUCGACUCACUAUACGAGGGUAAUAAGACAAGUGGACAUUACACGCUGUCAAUCGACCGACUGAAGAACUCCUACAUCAUGUCUAUGGAAGACACCAUGUUCAAUGACGCCGGAAUGUAUUACUGUGCGAAACAGACACUGUGA